rnacentral:tRNA from 23 species
GGCUCCAUGGUCAAGCGGUUAAGACAUCGCCCUUUCACGGCGGUAACACGGGUUCAAAUCCCGUUGGAGUCA